rnacentral:misc_RNA from 1 species
CCGAGUUUACAACUCCCAAACCCCAAUGUGAACGUUACCAAACUGUUGCCUCGGCGGGAUUUUUCUGCCCCGGGCGCGUCGCAGCCCCGGACCAAGGCGCCCGCCGGAGGACCAAACCUUACAAAACUCUUUUUGUAUGUCCCUCUGGCGGACUCUUUUACAUUUCUGAGCUUUCUUCUCGGCGCUCCUAGCGAGCGUUUCGAAAAUGAAUCA